rnacentral:rRNA from 1 species
GUGUCAGCAGCCGCGGUAAUACGUAGGGGGCGAGCGUUGUUCGGAAUUAUUGGGCGUAAAGGGUACGUAGGCGGUUUGUUAAGUUUGGCGUUAAAUCACGGGGCUCAACCCCGUUCAGCGUUGAAAACUGGCAAACUUGAGUAGUAGAGGGGACAGUGGAAUUCCUAGUGUAGCGGUGAAAUGCGUAGAGAUUAGGAAGAAUACCGGUGGCGAAGGCGACUGUCUGGAUACAUACUGACGCUCAGGUACGAAAGCGUGGGGAGCAAACAGGAUUAGAAACCCCAGUAGUCC